CCUUGAAAAAUCGAAGCAAAAAAACCAAACAUGAUGCUCAAGAUUAAGAGGGUUCCUACACUUGUUUCCAACUUCCAAAAAGAAGAGGCUGAAGAAACUCUUGCUCGUGGUGCUGGCUGUGGCCGCAAUUGCCUCCGAAACUGCUGCCUUCCAGGUAACUUUUUUUUUAACUGUCUGUCUUAAUUUGCUCUUUUCCGUUCUUUUUUAAAAAAAUAAAAAAAUUAUUUUGCAUAAUAUUAGCCUGAGAUGAGUUUAAAUGGAGUAAUAUAGUCAAAUUGAUUAACUUUUCAGUUAAAUCAGAGUAGAUUACUGUAAAGUUAAAUUUUUAACUACUCAAAUGGUGAAAAUUUUACUGUUUUAGUGUUGGUUAAAGUUUUACUUAGUGUGAAUCUAGGGAAGCAAAAAGUGCCAAACAUUUUGGAACAGAUAAUUGAGGCUAUUUGUAAUUGGGUUUAAUCUGUAGCUGAUUUAGCAGAAUAUUGAUUUUGUUAUUUGGAUUGUGAAAAGGGUCAAAGCUGCCGCUGUAUGCUUCCAAGAAUUUGAAAAAGGGCAAGUCUGUUGCCGAUGAAACCAAGGAACCUCCUGUUGACUUCUUGG
rnacentral:lncRNA from 1 species